rnacentral:rRNA from 1 species
CCCUACGGGGCGCAGCAGGCGCGAAAACUUUACAAUGCGGGAAACCGUGAUAAGGGAACUCCGAGUGUCCGUAAAUGCGGACUGUCCGUAUGUUUAAAAAGCAUGCGAAGAAAGGGCCGGGCAAGACCGGUGCCAGCCGCCGCGGUAAUACCGGCGGCUCGAGUGGUGGCCACUAUUACUGGGCUUAAAGCGUUCGUAGCUGGGUCGUUAAGUCUCUUGGGAAAUCUACUGGCUUAACCGAUAGGCGUCCAAGGGAUACUGGCGAUCUAGGGACCGGGAGAGGUGAGGGGUACUUCAGGGGUAGGAGUGAAAUCCUGUAAUCC